AGUGGCGAACGGGUGAGUAAUACAUCGGAACGUGUCCUAAAGUGGGGGAUAACGCAUCGAAAGAUGUGCUAAUACCGCAUAAUCUCUGAGGAGGAAAGUGGGGGAUCGUAAGACCUCAUGCUUUUGGAGCGGCCGAUGUCUGAUUAGCUAGUUGGUGAGGUAAUGGCUCACCAAGGCGACGAUCAGUAGUUGGUCUGAGAGGACGACCAGCCACACUGGGACUGAGACACGGCCCAGACUCCUACGGGAGGCAGCAGUGGGGAAUUUUGGACAAUGGGCGCAAGCCUGAUCCAGCAAUGCCGCGUGAGUGAAGAAGGCCUUCGGGUUGUAAAGCUCUUUUAGUCGAGAAGAAAAGGUUGUGACUAAUAAUCAUAACUCAUGACGGUACUGACAGAAAAAGCACCGGCUAACUACGUGCCAGCAGCCGCGGUAAUACGUAGGGUGCAAGCG
rnacentral:rRNA from 1 species